rnacentral:lncRNA from 1 species
UGCGGCUCAGGCGCCCCCAAACGCGAACCCGGGACCUCCGCGCCCGCCGCUGUGGGGAGGGUGCGGCCCGAGACGCUUGGAGGGCGGCGGGCGCCGGAAUCGCAGCCUGCUGUGGCCACUUGCCCGCACUCUUGCCUGACUGACCAUUUUCCGCUCUGGCUACUGGGCCUCCCACGGAGUUCUGUCCUCAGGGUUCGUCAAUUACCUGGAAUUGCGUAACCGCCCGUUACAGGCCAGACCGAGGCCGAGAGCGAUUUCUCCAGACAACAGUCUGGAAUUCCUCAAGGAGCGUACCCUCUAGUUUUCACGAUAGGAUAAAGGGCUUGAGAGAGCACUGAGGAGGAGUCACUUAUUCUGCCUGAGGGGAAGUCAGGUUGCUAUCUGAAGUUGGCCUUGCGGCUGCUGUCCCAUUUGCGGGAGCCGUAGCCGCAGGUGACACCUGAGCUCUCGAAAUGUGGCUGGUCUGAAUAGAGAUGUGUUCCAAGAUUUAGAAGAUUUAAUUUAAAAAGUGAUAUUUUGGGUAUAUUGGGUUAAAUAUAUUAAAAUUAAUUUCACCUGGUUUUAACUUUUUAAAUGUGGCUAUAAAUAUGGCUUGCAUUAUAUUUCUAUUGGAUAGUGCUACCUUGCAGCAUUAAGAUGGAUUUGACUAGAAAAGAUGAGAAGGGCCUACAAACAGUGAGUAAACCCAUUGCUGUUAGAAUCUGUUUAUAACCUACAAGUCACAUUCACAUUCCUUAUUUCAUCAUUACAACAAUUUUCAAAAAUUUUAUUUAGUAGACUUAAAAAAUAAUUGACUCACUUAAGGUCAUAUGUGACAAUCAUUCGUUUAAUGCAUAUUUAUUUUCUACGUGUGCCAGACACUGUAACUAAAUGCUGGGAGUUAAAGGAUUCACAGUCUGGGGAAGCACAUGUCAACAAAUAUUUGCAAUAAAAACGUAGAUUCUAAAACAGAGGAACGUACGCUGCACUUGAAGCAAAGAGAAGUGACCACGUAUGGGACGGAGGUCAGAGAAGGCCCCCCACUCUGACAGAAAUCGUGAGGCAGAGAAGAGUCAGGAGGGCUGUCUAAUGAAAGAGGAAAAUGCAGUAGACACGCAGUUGGGAAGAGUAUAGAGCAUAUUCUAGGAGCAGAUCAUGGGAUAUGUCGGGGUAGUAGUAGAGCCAGAAUUUUUAUCCCGGGUCCUGGAACUAAGUCCAGGGGUUCUUUUCACUUAUGCUACCACUGGUGGUAAAUAUAAGGUGCGUUAAUUGGAGUAGGCUAGCAAAACCAGUAUCUCGGGGCUUAACUCCAUAAAGGCUUAUGUUCAUACAAGUCACAGUGUGGUAACAAGUUGGUUGGGGCCAGAGGGUGGGGUCUGUACUUCUUGAAUUCAUUGAAGGACCAGGCUUCUUGCAUUUGGUGGUUCUCCCAUGCCGAGGCCUUGGUAAUGUAGUCAAAUCUGUGGCCCUCAGAUAAGGGAGGCUGGCCGUGGUUAACUUGUCAGAGAUAUUAGGGGCCAGUCCUGGAAGUGGUGUGUAUCAUUUUCACCCCAUUCCCUUAGCCAGAACUCAUGCGCAUGGUCACAUGGCCCUACCCAGAAGGGUGGCUGGGAAGUAAAGAAUGUGUGCCUCAUGGAAAAGGAAAUGGGCGCUGCUGGACACAGCAUUGCCUCGUCACACAGAGUUAAAUUGAACAUAACCAAGUACGUAAACCUGACUUUACCUGAAAAGAAUGUUUGGAAAGAACUGAUAGAUAUUAUAAUAGCCCAAACUCUCCUCGACUGUUUUGGGAAACAAAUCAGUGUGAGAUUGUUUCCAAAAAAUAAAAAAAGCCAGGUGCAGUGUCUCAUGCCUGUAAUCCCAGCACUUUGGGAGGUAGAGGCGGGCGGAUCACAAGGUCAGGAGUUCAAAACCAGCCUGGCCAACAUAGUGAAACCCUGUCUCUAGCUGGGCAUGGUGGUGCGUGCCUGUAGUCCCAGCUACUUGGGAGGCUGAGGCAGGAGAAUCGCUUGAAACCAGGAGGUGGAAGUUGCAGUGAGCAGAGAUCGUGCCACUAAUACUCCAGCUUGGGCAACAGAAUGAGACUUCGUCUCAAAAAAAAAAAAAAAAAAAGAGGCUGAAUGGUAUCAUCUUCUUUAUACCAGAACCUUUUCUUUUUAAAAAUAACUUUUAUAAUUUUAAAUUUGUGUAGUUACAUAAUAGGUGAAUAUCUUUAUGGGGUACAUGAGAUAUUUUGAUGCAGGUAUGCAAUGCAUGAUAAUCACAUCAUGGGAAUCAGGUAUCCAUCCCCUCAAGCAUUUAUCCUUUGUGUUACAAACAAUCCAAUUAUACCCUUUUAGUUACUUUAAAAUGUACAGUUAUUAUUGACUAUAAUAACUAUUAAAUACUAGGUCUAUUAAAUACUAGGUUGUUCUAUUAAAUACUAGGUCUUAUUCAUGCAUUCAAACUAUUUUUUGUACCCAUUAACCAUCCUCACUGUCCCCAUUCCCCCAUUACCCUUCCCAGCCUCUGGUAACCAUCCUUCUACUCUCUAUCUCCAUGGGUUGAAUUGUUUUGAUUUUUAGAUCCUCCAAAUAAGUGAGAACAUGUGAUGUUUGUCUUUCUGUGUCUGGCUUAUUUCGCUUAACAUAAUGACUUCCAGUUCCAUCCAUGUUGUUGCAAAUGACUAAAUCUCAUUCUUUUUUUAUGGCUGAAUAGUGCUCCAUUGUGUGUAAGUACCAUUUGUUCUUUAUUCAUUCAUCUGUUAAUGGACACUUAGAUUGCUUCCAAAUCUUGGCUAUGGUGAACAGAGCUGCAACAAACAUGGGAAUGCAGAUAUCUCUUUGAUAAACUGAUUUCCUUUCUUUUAGGUAUAUACCCAGCAGUGGGAUUGCUGGAUCAUAUAGGAGCUCAAUUUUUAGUUUUUUUGAGGAACCUCCAAACUGUUCUCCCUAGUAGUUAUACUAAUUUACAUUCCCACUAGCAGUGUAUGAGGGUUCCCUUUUCUCUACAUCCUUACCAGCAUUUGUUAUUGCCUGCUUUUUGAAUAUAAGCCAUUUUAACAGGAGUGAGAUGAUAUCUCAUUGGAGUUUUGAUUUGCAUUUCUCUGAUGAUCAGUAAUAUUGAGCACCUUCUCAUAUGUCUGUUUGCCAUUUGUAUGUAUUCUUUUGAGAAAUGUCUAUUCAAAUCUUUUGCCUAUUUUUUAACCAGAGUAUUAGAUUUUUUCCUGUAGAGUUGCUUGAGAUCCUUAUAUAUUCUGGUUAUUAAUCUCUUAUCAGAUAAGUAGUUUGCAAAUAUUUUCUCCCAUUCUGUGUGUUGUCUCUUCAAUUUGUUGAUUGCUUCUUUUGCUGUGCAGAAGCUUUUUAACUUGAUGUGACCCCGUUUGUCCAUUUUUGCUUUGGUCGUCCGUACUUGUACAGAACCUUGUCUUAAACAUCACAAGGAAUAAAUUCAAAAUGUCUUUAUAUUAUGCUUUGGUGUGCCAUCUCUUUAGUUAUCAGUUAACAAACCCUGCAAGGUGUAGAUCUGCAUGGGUUCAGGGACAUUAAGUGAGCCAAGAGGCACAAUCAGGAAUUGAGCCCUGGUCUGACUUCUCACUGGGUGCACCUUUAACCAGAGUGGUACUUUACCUUUUACAAUGGACAAGUACAAACUCCUAUGCAAUGUUACAGCAGGGAUUAAUUAACUAUGCAUUGAGUAGCAGGCAGAUGAUUCCAUCUUUUUCAGACUUUCUGAUGGAGGAGUUUCAAGAUCAGCUUUGAAGGUGAAAUGUAGGAAGGGCAUCCCAUAUAGAAUCAGAAGGCAGAAAUGGACAUGCUGUGGCAUGUUGUGGAAUGAAGAACACACAUAUGUGGGGGUGUCAGUCUAGAGUAGAGAAGAAACAGGGAAAUUGAUAGAAUAGUGGAUGAAGGUGGUGGAUGAAGAAUUUUUUAUUUGCUAUAUCAGGUGAUAGGGAGUCAUUAUAUUUGUGUUUAAAAGGAAGUGAUACACCUGAUGGUGCCAAUUAUAUCAUUGUAAGGAGACUUGGUGGUCCUGGGCUGCUCUGUUGAUGGAAUUCUGGUAACUGGGAUGAGUUGGGCACACAGGUGGAUUCUAAUGUGUGGAAUACAGAGUUCCUUGGGACAUAGCAGCAUUCUUCCUGCUGCUGUUGGUCAUAAGUAGAUACAGGGUAUGAACUGUGAGAGUGAGUGGCUGCAGUGGUGAACACAAUCAUUUAAGGUAAAAUAAAGCCAAGGAACUGAGAGACUAGAGUGCUAGCAGGGAUAGGGUUCAAAAUAUUUAACUACUAGUGCUAGCAUGGCAUGGACCCAUCAAAAUAGAUGUAGCCCAUAACGCUGGUGCAGGGUCCUGCAGGCACCUUGUUGUGUUAGAUGAUUACUUUUUGUUUCUGAAUCGUGAAGAGAUCUGUUGAAUCCUGAUGAGGGGCUAGAGCAUUGAGGCAUGACAUUGAAGAGGAUUGACAGUGGCUAUGAAAAUAUUUCAGUAUUUUAGCAAGGAAUACAAUUAUACUUGCACAUAUUCAUAUGCAUGAGAUGCAUUGUCCUCAUGGAUGUUGAAGUCACUAGGAAUAAUGAAGGCAUUAUGGAGAGAGGGAUAGUAAGCCAGUUGAUGGAGUCUUAAAUGAAAGGUGAGUGACCAGGAGUGUGGUAGGUAAUAAUAACAAGGAGGAGUGUGUGUGGAAUAGUUUGAUGACAUGUGCUUCAAUGCAGCUGGACAUUAUUUAGAGAGGAAGGAUGAAAAUGGUACUUGAAGCAGCAAGGAGAAAAGAGAGUUCACUAUACUGAACAGAGACCACUUGCCCCAACACCGAACCUGAAGUAGAGCCUGGGUAUCUGAAAAAAGCUGUCCCAUAGAAUGAGAGAACCACAGCGAGAUGAGAAGGGCAUGCGGAGAAGGCUUUGCCUUGGCCCUCAGAGGAGCAGAUGCUCAGUAUGACAGAUGUGAUUCUAGAGUAAGAGAAGAAGAUUAGGGAAAGUGUCAGUAGCCCCCAGAAUGCCUGUGACACAGCUAGAAGAAUCUCAUUGACAGUGGGAUCAAUGUAGGACAGAGGGAAGAAUGGAGGCAGCUUACACCUGAAAUAAGGAUGAUGUCAGGCCCACAGAAAUGUAACUUGUGGGUGAAAAGACUGUCCAUCAAGGAAAUCAGAAAUCCCGCUGCCCAAGCAAUUCUCAAAAUCACCAUACAGAGAGAUCUGUUCAUGACCAUGGUAUAGACCACAGGGUGGCGGAUGGUAGCAUAGUGAUCAUAGGCCAUGGCAGAGAACAGACAGGCUUCCGUUCCCCCAGAGAGAGUGAAAAAGAAACUUGGUGAGGCAGCCCCACAUUGAGAUGCUUUUCUUCUGAGAGGAAAUUUUGUAGCAUCCUGGGCACAGUAACUAGGAGUAGCUGAGAUCCAGAAAGGACAGAUGUCAAAGGAAGAAGUACAUGGGUCUUUGAAGGUGAGAAUCAGCCCUGAUCUCCAGGAUCAUCACCAGCUUCCCCGUCAAAGUCAGGAGAUGAAUCACCAGGAUUAGCACAAAGAGCAUGAUCUGGAUCUCUGCAUCACUGGAAAAUCCCACAAGGACAAACUCAGGACUAAUAUUGACAUUUAUUAUGGUUGCUUAGAGAUUCUGUCCCUCAAAAGAAAUGAAUGGUUCUCUACUUGGCAGGGCAUUCAUCUGAGUCAUUCUCACUGAACAGGAGUUUUCUACUUACAGACGAGUAUACCUCCUUACCUAUGGCCCAAAAUGGGAAACUCGGGAUAAGGAAGUGUCAUCUUAAGUACAAUCUCCUCACUUGCCCUUCUUUCCUACCUUCUAGUACUGUCUCUGCAUGAUCUUGAAGGCUUUACUCUGUACCUCCAUCACUGUUUAGUAAAUGUACCAAGUGCAUAUGAAUCAGGUAGGUCCUGGAGUCAAAAUGAGACAAACUGCCCCAGUGGCAAAGCCUAGAAAAUCUUCUCUGGAUAAGGGUUGGGAGGCCUAUCGGAAAAUGAUUCCUUCUCAGAAUGGUAAGAUCAUAGACUCACACUAUGUGAGGACAUUUACAUAAUAUACUUUAAUCCCUUCAUUUUACAAAUGAAGAGAAUGCAUUGCCUAUGGUCUCAUAGCAAAGUGAGGACUAGGUUGGGACUAAAACCAGUCAAGGUUGGAACUAGAACCAGGUGUUUCAGCUAGUCUUGUAUGCAUCCAAGUGCAUCAUACUUGGUGAUUUUGAAUUGUUAGAGCUGAGUCUUGUGUGGUUAGGGGAUCAUGUGCAACUUUGCUAGUAGGGAGUUCGCUUCUUAAAAAUUUUUUUCUUUCAGCUCCCCACACAUCUAAAUAUUUUGUAAGGAGAUACUUUGAAAGGGUAAGUCUGGCUCCAUGAAUGUCCCAUCUGUAUAGCUGCAAAGUAUCCUGAUUUAGAAGGGUCCUGAGCUCUGGCCCUGUUUACUUUUUUUUUUUUUUUUUUUAGACAGGGUCUCACCAUGUUGCCCAGGCUGGAGUGCAGUGGCACAAUCACAGCUCACUGCAGCCUCGACCUCCUGGGCUUGAGCGAUCUUGCUGCCUCAGCCUCCUGAGUAACUGGGACUACAUGAGUAGCUGGGACUACAGUGUAGCUCUAGCUAGAGCAACCUGGAUUCUUUUUGAGAACAUCACAUCAUUGGCAGAAGAUGCUGGAAAGUCAGGGAAUCAAAUCAAGAAAUGCAGACACAGAACCGCAUCACUCAUUAUAAUUUGGAGGGCAGCAAAAAGAAAGGUCUCCUCUUUUCCACUUGUCUCCAGAUGGAGCCCCAUUCACCAGCACUAGAAACUUAAAUCGUGGGGGGAAUUUCUCCUUUAGAAAUGAAGGUCAAAGAGUGAAAAUCUUACAAAGGACAUUUUCACAAAGGACAAAGUUGGAAAUUCUAGCCUGUCAGGGCCUAGACUUCCUCACAGAAAGAAAAAUACUGCGUUAGCAUUAUUCAAGGGGUCACAGGAAUAAAUAAAGUCAUGUCUUAUUUUUUUUAACCCGCUGCUGCAAUUUCACUAUUCUCACUGCUUCAUCUAUUCAAACUCUGAAUCCAAAUUUAGAAUGGAAACAGCUCUGAGAAUGCUACCACUAUGGUUAUUGAUACAAUCAGUUGGAGUCAGCUGACUAGAUCUUUCCCAAAAAGGCCUGCCUGAGAGGAACUUUUUUAAGAAUGAGACAUACAAAAGUAUCUAGUACUGUGGCAGUCACAAAGGUUGCUCCAAAUAUAUUAUUUAAAAAUACAAAUGAAUGGCCGGGCGCAGUGGCUCACGCCUGUAAUCCCAGCACUUUGGGAGGCCGAGGUGGGCGGAUCACGAGGUCAGGAGAUGGAGACCAUCCUGGCUAACACAGUGAAACCCUGGCUCUACUAAAAAUACAAAAAUUAGCCAGGCGUGGUGGCUUGGGCCUGUAGUCCCAGCUACUCGGGAGGCUGAGGCAGGAGAAUGGCGGGUGAACCCGGGAGGCAGAGCUUGCAGUGAGCCAAGAUCGUGCCACUGCACUCCAGCCUGGGCGACAGAGCGAGACUCCGUCUCUUAAAAAAAAAAAUUAAUACAUUGAUGAACGGAUGAGUAUGUGAAUGAAUAUGGCUCAGGAAGAGAAUAGUCUAGGGCUUUGCUGCUCACCGAGAACAGACCUAAUUGGGAGCCAGUCGAGGAUUUUAGACUCCCUGGGCUUGCAUUAAGCCAGAUAUAGUAAAGGUAAUAGAGAAGAAUUUCACCAACUGGACAGGUUUGCCCCAAAGCAGUGUGUUUUGCUCUGUUCUGCACUUUCGCAUACCUCAGAGUAUAUAAUUAUAGGGGAUAUCCAUAAUUAAAGAUAUGGUUAGUUUCUGAAUCUCAUGUUUGGAGUUCUGGGAGAGGGUUCUUUUUGAGUCACAAAGUGCCCAGAGUCUAUCGCUGAAGUCCUCAUCUCCUCCCACCCCUUAUAGAGAGCUCUCAAGUAUUAGCCUCCCCAAACUUCCAGGUUUCUGGCAUAAUGCGGGCUUUCAGCACCAGAAACAAGGAAUAUAGCAAGAUAUAGGAAAGAGAUCUUGUCUCAGUUGUGCCAUUUGUACAACGGAAUCAAGCAAUAACUACCCUGCAAAGUGGUGAGGUCUUAAUUGCUAACUUGAGUAUAGUGCUGAAGACAAUUGAGGGGCUGAAGAAUCAUCAAAUUCUCUUUUCUUCACUCCCAAUCCAAGUGUUUCAUUUUCCCAAAAGGAGGAAGCGAAGUGAUGUUGAGGAGCAGACCAAAACAUCUUAGGUAACACAAAUGGACACCAUAUUGAGAGAGUGGGGAGGGUACCCUUAAAUACCUCUUAAAUACCAUGAGAACAAAGAUCAGAUGAGAGGACUGACAGGGAAAGGAAGUGCCUGAUGGAAGAAUGGCAGGAAGUAGUAGAAACAGAGGGGAACAAAGUAGCAGGGAAAAUCCUGAAAGGACAGACGGAAAACAUAACCAUACUUCUGUCUUUUCCUGGUGCACAAUGUAUCCUGUUUUUCUGAGUUGGUGGGUGUGCCUCUGAACUUGGGAGAAAUUCACAGGCGAGAAAAUGUACCACAACUGUCUGAUCUUGUGAGCUGACAUUGUUUUUUAAGACCUUUUUUGCAUAAAGAGAAAUACAUAAGCUCAUUCCUCAAAAGCUCCAGGAAGUAAAGACUUUAAAAAGCUUUUCUGAAGUUUGACAGCAUUUUUGCUCUUAUGCUGUAACAACUCCAAAACUACAAAGAAAGGGAAACUAGAAACCUUCAAAUUCUUAACAGCAACUUCUUUCAUACUUCCCCUGGCAUAAUUACACAAUCAUUUCUCUAUGCCUGUUAAUAUAGUACUAAGAGCAUCAUGCUAACAAAGGAGGCGCAGGUCUAGCCAUUCAGAAGGGCUGCUGGGUUAAGUUGGCCAAAGGGAUGGCAAAGUAUGAUCUGAAAACCCUGGGGGCAGCUGGGCCCAUCCUGAUUAGAAAGCUCAGCAUGAAGCAAACACUAAGCUCAUUAGCUAAAAAUGGUUACUAGCUGAUUCCACCGGGAAUUCCCAUUGAAGCUAAGUGACUCACGGCUUAUUUUUAGAUCAUCUUGCCAAUAUUGCCAUGUAUUUAAUUACUAGAUAUAUUAAAAAUAGUGAUUAUUAUACAUAUGCUGUUAUUAUUAUUAGGCAAUCAAUAAUAAUUCAAAUCUACCCACAUAUUUAACUUUUGGUUUUUUGCUCAACUUUUCUGCGUCUAGAACUGAAAAUCUUAAUAGCUGAAACUGAGAUUUCAGUGGAUACAUUUGACACAAAAUAGACAAAGCAGAAGAAAUUUUAGUGACUCAAAAGAUAGGUAAGAAGAAAAUAAGAACUUCCAUCUAUGAGCAUUUUCUUUCUCCUUGAAGUCCUCCUUUUAAAUUUUCUCUUAGUGCAAGUCUUUUAGUGAUAUAUAUAAUUCACCUUAAUUCUUAAAGGAUUUACUACUGGCACAGAAUUCUAACAGGGAGUUAUUUUUUAUUCAGUAAUUUGAAGAUAUCACUACACUGUCUUCUGUCUUCUUGCUACAAGUCUAAUGUGAUGGGAUUAGUGCCCUUGUAAGAGAUAUGAGAGCUCUCUCUCUCUCUCUCUUACUCUGUGUGUGUGUGUGUGUGUGUGUGUGUGUGUGUGUGUGUCCCCACCCCAUGAUGACACCGUGAGGAGGUGGCCAUCUACAAGCCAGGAAGUGGCUAUACCUUGAUCUUGGACUUCCCAUCCUCCAGAACAGUGAGCAUAUAGAUUUAUGUUGCUUAAGGCACUAGACUAUGGUGUUUUGCUAUAGCAGUCCAAUUGACUAAUACAAUAGAGAAGACAUCUCUUCUCAAUUCAAAAUAAAUGCCUCUACCUGUGCUUUAGAUAGAUUAUUCUGCUUCCUCAGAAGCCUUGCUCCUCCAGACUUGCCCUUCCUUUGCUUAGGAUUCCAAUUUUCAAAAGUAGGAAAUUAUAGAACUGAAGUCUUUUUUAUACCAUUCUCUAAUCUAUUCCUCCCUAUCCAUACAUAACCACUAUCCUAAAGUUAGAAUAUGGUUUCUCGUGUAGCUUCUUCUGCUACCCGUGGUAGCAGAAUUGUCUUCUAAAGAUGUCCAUGCCCUAAUCUCUGAAGUCUAUGACUGCUACCUUACAUGGCAAAAGAGAUUUUGCAGAUGUCAUUAAAGUUAUAGACCUUAAAAUAGGGAGAUUAUCUUGGAUUAUCCAGGUGGAUCUAAUCUAAUCACAUGAGUUUUUAAAAGCAGAAAACUUUCUCCCACUGGUGUGAGAGAGAUGUGAUAGAAAUGGAAGUCAAAGAGAUUUAAAGCAUAAGAGGAAGUGACCUAUUGUUUGUUGCUCAAUGAGGGACACACAGAAUGCAUGAGAAGUAAUGUGGGCAGCCUCUAGGAGCAAAGACCAGCCCCCAGCUGGCAGCUAGCAAAAAAAACAGAGACCUCAGUCCCGCAACUGAAAAAAAUCAGCUAUCAGUCUAAGCUUGGAAGUAGAUUCAUUCCCAGAACCUCCAGAAAGGAAUGCAGCCCUGAUGACACCUUUGUUUAGGCUUGGUGAGACUCUGACAGAGAAACCAUGUAAGCCACUCGGUACCUGGACUCCUGAAUUAUAGAGCCAUGAGCUAAUCAAUAUGUAUUGUUUUAGUUUGCUAUAUUUAUUGUAAUUUCAUUUGUUACACAGCAGUAGAAAAUGAAUAUAUUUCCCCAUGUAUGCUUUUAUAUUUUUAUUACACAUGUCUGUUUUUAAAAACUUUACAUAAAUGUCUCUUGUUAUAUGUGACAUUCUGAAAUUACCUUGUUUUCAUUCAACUUGCUUUAGAAAUUUAUCCAGGUUGAUAUAUGUAAAAAUAAUUCAUUCAUUUAAUUGUUAUAAAGUGUCGCAUUAUAUGAUUAUACUACAUUUCUGCAUUUUUCAGAAGAUUAAAGAACAAGUAAGAAUUU